rnacentral:piRNA from 1 species
AGAUUGAAUUGUAGAUGGUUGUGAGC